GGGCUCGUAGCCUAGUCUGGAUAGGGCGACAGCCUUCUAAGCUGUAGAUCAGGGGUUCGAAUCCCCUCGGGCCCG
rnacentral:tRNA from 1 species